rnacentral:sRNA from 1 species
CCUGAAAUGGAUGGUUAGUUCAGCGUUCACGUCCGG